GACGAAGGUGGCGAGCGUUGUUCGGAAUCACUGGGCAUAAAGCGCACGUAGGUGGUGUCGUAAGUCGGGUGUGAAAUCCCUCGGCCUAACCGAGGAACUGCGCCCGAUACUGCGAUGCUUGAGGAUCAGAGGGGUGCAUGGAAUUUCCGGUGGAGCGGUGAAAUGCGUUGAUAUCGGAAGGAACUCCGGCGGCGAAAGCGAUGCACUGGCUGAUUUCUGACACUAAGGUGCAAAAGCCAAAAGAGCAAACGGG
rnacentral:rRNA from 1 species